rnacentral:lncRNA from 1 species
CUCUGCUCUAACGUGACACUUCCUACGUCGUCCAUAGGCGCUCAGAGCCCGGGAAAAACCUGAAUGUCGUCAUCCCAGCCCCAGGCUGAAACACAUUAUCGCCUUUCUCAAGUGGCCGAUCAAGGGACUCUGGGCUUAGGCGCGUGACCUGAUUAUUUUGUCACGAAUUGCGCCAUGCGCACGACCCUUCUUUACCAUUUCGGAUAGUGUCUGGAAUGCACGAACAAAACGCCGCUAUUCGGAUAUAACGAUGGAUUAUUUUGGACCAAACCAACAUUUGUUAUUGAAGUAGAAGUCCUGGGAGUGCAUUCUGACGAAGACAACAAAAGUUCGCUACCCGUACAGCAGGUGGCAGCAUGGACAUUAAAUUAGUGCGAGCGCCAUUAUAUCAGAGAAGAAGAAGAAGUAGAGAUGGCCGGACCAUGAGUGACAAGGGGAUGACUUCUUGGAUUAGACACGCCACACAGUUCCUAACACGUGACUUCGACUGCAGUGCUUUCAGAGGUUCUGUUAUCUCAGGUCGUAAAUUCCUGGUGGAGACUCUCUCCCCCUGGCCAUGCAGAAAGAGAGACACAUAGAGAGAACAAAGGAUUUCACAUGGCGAACUCCUAAAUCCCCAAAAUGGGAAUUUGAUGCAAAAUGUCCACUUGUGAGAAGGUGGGAAUGGUCUGUGGACACUUAAGGGACGGGUAUGACGAG